UUCGACGACUUUAGCGCAGGGGCAACACCCGAUCCCAUUCCGACCUCGGAAGUUAAGGCCUGUAGCGCCGAUGAUAGUGCAUUCUUUGAGUGUGUGAAAGUAGGACGUUGUCGAGA
rnacentral:rRNA from 1 species